GACGAACGCUGGCGGCGUGCUUAACACAUGCAAGUCGAACGGAAAGGCCCUGCUUUUGUGGGGUGCUCGAGUGGCGCACGGGUGAGUAACACGUGAGUAACCUGCCCUUGACUUUGGGAUAACUUCAGGAAACUGGGUCUAAUACCGGAUAGGAGCUCCUGCUGCAUGGUGGGGGUUGGAAAGUUUCGGCGUUUGGGGAUGGACUCGCGGCUUAUCAGCUUGUUGGUGGGGUAGUGGCUUACCAAGGCUUUGACGGGUAGCCGGCCUGAGAGGGUGACCGGCCACAUUGGGACUGAGAUACGGCCCAGACUCCUACGGGAGGCAGCAGGGGGGAAUAUUGCACGAUGGGCGGAAGCCUGAUGCAGCAACGCCGCGUGCGGGAUGACGGCCUUCGGGUUGUAAACCGCUUUCGCCUGUGACGAAGCGUGAGUGACGGUAAUGGGUAAAGAAGCACCGGCUAACUACGUG
rnacentral:rRNA from 1 species